UGAAAGGUCUUCAUUUUUAAGACUUGAUGAUUAGGUUGGUCUUAUCUAGCUAACUGUCCCUUCUCAGAAUCUUUAUUCUGAGCUGCAAGAUUCUUCUCCCACGUAAAGUAACAUAUCCACAGGUUCUGUAUUUGGUAGAUGCUUCCUGCAUUCCAGCCACUGUCUGGACAACAGAUGUUUUGCAGUAAGAAAAGAGGAAGUGCUCCUUGCCUUGAGAGAAGGUCACCAGCUAUGGCCGAUGUGACAGAACUGGAUAUUGUGUCUUCAUAAAAUCCUCAGUUUCACUAAAUGUAAAUUAUUGUCCUGUCACCAUAAGCAUCUGGUUAUCGCAGCUGUUUUGUAGAUAUUCCAGGGAAUUAAGAAAUUUGAUUAAUUUUUUUCUCUGGUUUCUGUGAACAAUAUUGAAUUCUGUGUUUUAACACUUCCUUGUGGGAAAACAAAAAAUUCUCUGUGACUGACGGUAUGGACUUAUCCAUUUACAUAAAUCAAUCCUGGGUGGAGAUACCAGAGACGCUGGGCAAUUACUUUCUAUAGAUGCUGCAGUCAUUCGGUAACCUAAAUUAGUCUGAUUGAGGUCUCUUUGCUGUUGUGUCUAGGAAUUUGCAGAUAAAGUUUAAAGAGCAUUUUAAGUCCAAGAAAUUUUAGGUGAUUUUUGCAUAUGCCACCCUAAGUAGUUCACUUUUGAAGAUUUGAUAACUCUGAGUUUAAAGGAAAUUCACAUCUUUUUUAUACCAUGUUAUUUGUCUCAUCUCUUGGAGAAAACUGAAGGCCAAAGUUUUAUAUUAUUCAGUUUAUUUUAUUUCAUUAUAUCUCUUUCUUCUUAUCUUUCCUGCUUUUUUUCCUGACAGUUCUUCCACAUGAGAAAUACAGAUUAGUAGGAAACUGUUUUAGAACAGUGGAGCUUCAUGAAAUUAAGUCAAUGACAAAUCUCAAAAGUAAAAGGAAAACCUGGACUCGUGAUGUGCAAUUCAUUGGUUAUAAAUAAUUCCAAGGAUUGAACUCAGUUAUUCAAGAAAUAGUUAAGGGUUUCCCGGCCACCGCCUCUCCUGCCACCUGUGGAGCCAGAAACAGAGUCACUGACACUGUGGUGGCCGACAUCAAAGCUUUGAUUAGUGUGUCCUUUGGAGGAGCAAUCGGCCUGACGUUCCUGAUGCUUGGAUGUGUCUUUCUGAUGUUUUGUUUUGUUUUGUUUUGUUUUGUAGUUCUGUAUUGCGUGUACCCUUACGCCGCUUUGGUUUGUUUUGUGUUUUUCUCUUUUUCCUCUUAAAUAAAAAAAAAAAAAAAAAAAAAAAAGAGACUUUCCUAGAAAUAAAAAAAAAGAACCAG